rnacentral:rRNA from 1 species
ACCCUGGACGGUGGAUCACUCGGCUCGUGCGUCGAUGAAGAGUGCAGCCAACUGUGUGAAUUAGUGCGAAUCGCAGACUGCUUUGAGCAUCGACAUCUUGAACGCAUAUUGCGGCCAUAGGCUUGCCUGUGGCCACGUCUGUC